GACGAACGCUGGCGGCGUGCUUAACACAUGCAAGUCGAACGGUAAGGCCCUUCGGGGUACACGAGUGGCGAACGGGUGAGUAACACGUGGGUGAUCUGCCCUGCACUUCGGGAUAAGCCUGGGAAACUGGGUCUAAUACCGGAUAGGACCCUGGGAUGCAUGUCCUGGGGUGGAAAGCUUUUGCGGUGUGGGAUGGGCCCGCGGCCUAUCAGCUUGUUGGUGGGGUGAUGGCCUACCAAGGCGACGACGGGUAGCCGGCUUGAGAGGGUGACCGGCCACACUGGGACUGAGAUACGGCCCAGACUCCUACGGGAGGCAGCAGUGGGGAAUAUUGCACAAUGGGCGCGAGCCUGAUGCAGCGACGCCGCGUGAGGGAUGACGGCCUUCGGGUUGUAAACCUCUUUCAGCACAGACGAAGCGCAAGUGACGGUAGGUGCAGAAGAAGGACCGGCCAACUACGUGCCAGCAGCCGCCGUAA
rnacentral:rRNA from 1 species